rnacentral:ncRNA from 1 species
AUAAAUUCGUUGAUGAGAAGAGUAGUGUUACGAACUGAUUCAGAAAGCGGCUGGUUGAUGAGAAGUCGUUCUGUUCAAGACAUGAAGAUGAGCUCGGAGAAAUGGUGAUGGUGCAAGCUGUUACCACGGCAGGAACCGUUAUCUUCCCUGGUUUAUCCGCUUAAGUGCGGCGAACUGUAGAGGUGUAUUUGGUGACAAAUACAUAAAUUAGGGUGGUAACACGAUGAAGUCGUCCCUAGU